AACAAGGUCUCCGUUGGUGAACCAGCGGAGGGAUCAUUACAGAGUUGCAAAACUCCCACAAACCAUCGCGAAUCUUACCCGUACGGUUGCCUCGGCGCUGGCGGUCCGGAAGGCCCUCGGGCCCCCGGAUCCUCGGGUCUCCCGCUCGCGGGAGGCUGCCCGCCGGAGUGCCGAAACCAAACUCUUGAUAUUUUAUGUCUCUCUGAGUAAACUUUUAAAUAAGUCAAAACUUUCAACAACGGAUCUCUUGGUUCUGGCAUCGAUGAAGAACGCAGCGAAAUGCGAUAAGUAAUGUGAAUUGCAGAAUUCAGUGAAUCAUCGAAUCUUUGAACGCACAUUGCGCUCGCCAGUAUUCUGGCGAGCAUGCCUGUUCGAGCGUCAUUUCAACCAUCAAGCUCUGCUUGCGUUGGGGAUCCGCGGCUGCCCGCGGUCCCUCAAAAACAGUGGCGGGCUCGCUAGUCACACCGAGCGUAGUAACUCUACAUCGCUAUGGUCGUGCGGCGGGUUCUUGCCGUAAAACCCCCCAAUUUCUAAGGUUGACCUCGGAUCAGGUAGGAAUACCCGCUGAACUUAAGCAUAUCACUAAGCCGUGGGAG
rnacentral:rRNA from 1 species